UGCUCUUGUUCUCUUCAAAUUGCAUAAAUCUUUUGCCUUUUAUGAAAGUUUUCUGUGGGGAGGAACAACAAUAGUUUAUCUCAGUUAUUUGAUGCUUUGUAUUAACAGAGUU